rnacentral:rRNA from 1 species
GUACACUCAUGCGGGAGGCAGCAGUGGGGAAUAUUGCACAAUGGGCGCAAGCCUGAUGCAGCCAUGCCGCGUGUAUGAAGAAGGCCUUCGGGUUGUAAAGUACUUUCAGCGGGGAGGAAGGCGAUAAGGUUAAUAACCUUGUCGAUUGACGUUACCCGCAGAAGAAGCACCGGCUAACUCCGUGCCAGCAGCCGCGGUAAUACGGAGGGUGCAAGCGUUAAUCGGAAUUACUGGGCGUAAAGCGCACGCAGGCGGUCUGUCAAGUCGGAUGUGAAAUCCCCGGGCUCAACCUGGGAACUGCAUUCGAAACUGGCAGGCUAGAGUCUUGUAGAGGGGGGUAGAAUUCCAGGUGUAGCGGUGAAAUGCGUAGAGAUCUGGAGGAAUACCGGUGGCGAAGGCGGCCCCCUGGACAAAGACUGACGCUCAGGUGCGAAAGCGUGGGGAGCAAACAGGAUUAGAAACCCCUGUAGUCCC